AGAGUUUGAUCCUGGCUCAGGGUUAACGCUGGCGGCGCGCAUAACACAUGCAAGUCGAGCGAGGGCUCAUUUCCCGCAAGGGAGAUGGGUUCCUAGCGGCGAACGGGUGAGUAACACGUGGGCAACCUUUCCUAUCGCGGGGGAUAACAGCGGGAAACCGCUGCUAAUACCGCAUGUCGUCAUCGGUCGCAUGGCCGGUGAAGAAAGCAGCAAUGCACGAUGGGGUGGGCCCGCGGCCUAUCAGCUAGUCGGUGGGGUAACGGCCUACCGAGGCGAUGACGGGUAGCUGGUCUGAGAGGACGACCAGCCACACGGGGACUGAGACACGGCCCCGACUCCUACGGGAGGCAGCAGUGAGGAAUCUUCCGCAAUGGGCGAAAGCCUGACGGAGCGACGCCGCGUGUGGGAUGAAGUCCUUCGGGAUGUAAACCACUGUUGGAGGGGAAGACUUCGACGGUACCCUCCGAGAAAGCCCCGGCUAACUACGUGCCAGCAGCCGC
rnacentral:rRNA from 1 species